GGCUGGCCGACUCUGCACUCGUCCGUUCGUGGCCCACCGUGGUGGUCACCAAAUUGAGGGCUUCCUGGAAGGACCUCCUCACGGUGCCCAUCCACUGGGUCAUGUGGGUCUGAGCCACCGUGAGUUUAUCUCCCAGCUGUCUCUCCCUCCCUCUCUGGAAGGCAACACUGAUCCAGAUGGAGCAACACCGUCAGUCAGAAGGCAGCGGAUGGCACAGGGCUUCCGCGUAAGGCCUGCAUCACCUGAGUCAUGGUUUUCUCAUCUUGUAUGAAGCCCACCCCCUUCAAAAGCUUCUUUCUACCCUGGACAAACUGGACAGAUGUUAAUCCUGGAAUGUGCCAUGCCAUCUCUGGUUCAGCCUUUUGCAUAUGCUGUUCUCUCUGGAUAAGACACCUUUCCACCCCUUCCUCACCUGGCCAGCAUCUAGUCCACCACAGCUCAGCUUAGAUACUCCCGCCUCUGAGACACCUCCCCUGUUUCCUUAUAUCCAUGGGGGCAGGGGGCACCUCUGGGGUCCCACCCUGCCUAUGUAACCCCUACUGAAUCACACAGUUUACCUGGCCAUAAUUUGGUUUACCCAUCAGUCUUCCCGUCUGGAUCCCGAGCCUGUGGGCGGCAGGGAUGUGUCCUGUCCACGCUUGAUACUCAACAUCCUCAAGAGGCUCUCAUCGCACCCACCGGGUGAGAUGAAGGAAUCACUGAGGCUUGAACCCAAGUCACAGGACUCCAAACAUCCUUCUUGGGAGACUUGUUUCCAAGGCAACAGGGAAAGGAAUUCAGAUAAAAGAAAAAAAAUAGAAAUGACUUGAUUUUACAAGUCAAUCCCAGAUUAUUUAUAAACCAAGCCCAAGAUUAUUUUCUUGUGUUAAUUUAUCACAUUCUUCUUCAAAUAGUCAUUUUAAUGAC